AUGCUUUUUUUACUGAUUCAUUGUGCUCCUCCAAGGGCUGUCUGGAUUCAGUCCUGAGAUCAAUUUUUUAUUAGUAACCAGAAGAGCAUUGAUGAGCUGAAUAUCUUUCUCUCAUUCUUUUCUUGUUCUAAUGUUUAUAUUGCAAUGUGACAGAAAUACAAUGAGUUCUGGUGAUAAAUCUUCCUCCCGACCUGUGAGGGCGCUAAAGAACGGGAGGAGAAGUAUCUGGAAGGGCUGGCCUGACAGUUCGUUUCCGGGACCGGGAAGUGGGUCAGCCUGGAAAGAAGCGAGACUCUGUUGUAAGACCGUAUUGAUUUGACAGGUAAACGAGGGGCAGCUGCAAGUAAUAAGGCAGCUGCAACCGUUUACCUAGAUAUCAUGCGGGAUUACAUGAUAUAGGGGCCAGGACUGUUAAAGCACAUCUCCGGAGCUGUCGAAACAGGGUCAGCACGAUCCGGAGCACCACUACACACCACACAACCUGUGUCUGCACCGAGCACCUGCACGUCUGCACUCACCCAGGACUGGUGACCGCGUCUUGUGUUUUGUUCGGGACUGUGCCCUGUUUUUUGUUAUCCCCGCGCUUUACACAUUGUUGUGUAUAGCCGGGGAUUUAUUAUUUUACGGUCACCAGACCUGGAUUAUAAUUAAAGCACCUUUUUCACUGGA